AUUGAACGCUGGCGGCAUGCCUUACACAUGCAAGUCGAACGGUAACAGGUCUUCGGAUGCUGACGAGUGGCGAACGGGUGAGUAAUGCAUCGGAACGUGCCCAGUUGUGGGGGAUAACUGCUCGAAAGAGCAGCUAAUACCGCAUAAGACCUGAGGGUGAAAGCGGGGGAUCGCAAGACCUCGCGCAAUUGGAGCGGCCGAUGUCAGAUUAGGUAGUUGGUGGGGUAAAGGCCUACCAAGCCGACGAUCUGUAGUUGGUCUGAGAGGACGACCAGCCACACUGGGACUGAGACACGGCCCAGACUCCUACGGGAGGCAGCAGUGGGGAAUUUUGGACAAUGGGCGCAAGCCUGAUCCAGCAAUGCCGCGUGCAGGAAGAAGGCCUCCGGGUUGUAAACUGCUUUUGUCAGGGAAGAAAUCCUCUGGGUUAAUACCCCGGGGGGAUGACGGUACCUGAAGAAUAAGCACCGGCUAACUACGUGCCAGCCGCCGCCGUAAUAC
rnacentral:rRNA from 1 species